rnacentral:rRNA from 1 species
UGGGGAAUCUUGCACAAUGGGGGAAACCCUGAUGCAGCGACGCCGCGUGAGCGAUGAAGCCCUUCGGGGUGUAAAGCUCUUUCGGCAGGGAAGAUUAUGACGGUACCUGCAGAAGCAGCUGCGGCUAACUACGUGCCAGCAGCCGCGGUAAUACGUAGGCAGCAAGCGUUGUUCGGAGUUACUGGGCGUAAAGGGUGUGUAGGCGGUUGGAUAAGAGUGGUGUGAAAUCUCCCGGCUUAACUGGGAGGGUGCGCUACAGACUGUCUGACUAGAGUGUGGGAUGGGAGAGUGGAAUUCCUGGUGUAGCGGUGAAAUGCGUAGAUAUCAGGAGGAACACCGGUGGUGUAGACGGCUCUCUGGACCAUAACUGACGCUGAGACACGAAAGCGUGGGUAGCAAACAG